rnacentral:rRNA from 1 species
AGUCGAGCGGAUGCGAGUUAUCUUGAACCUUCGGGGAACGAUAACGGCGUGAGCGGGGGACGGGUGAUUAAUGCCUAUGAAAUUGCCCUGAUGUGGGGGAUAACCAUUGGAAACUAUGGCUAAUACCGCAUGAUGCCUGAUGGCCAGACAGGGGGACCUUCGAGCCUCUCGCGUCAGGAUAUGCCUAUGUGGAAUUAACUGCUUGGUGAGCAAGGGCUCACCACUGCUACGAUCCCAAGCUGGUCUGACUGAUGAUCAGCCACACUGGAAAUGCCACACGGACCAAACUCCUACGGGAGGCAGCAGUGGGGAAUAUUGCACAAUGGGCCCUGCCCUGAUGCAGCCAUGCCGCGUGUAAGAAUAAGGCCUUCUGGUUGUAAAGUACUUUCAGUCGUGAGGAAGGCUGCUGCUUUAAUAUCGCCAUCGUUUGACGUUAGCGACAGAUUAAUCACCGGCUAACUCCGUGCCAGCAGCCGCGGUAAUACAGAGGGAGCUAGCGUUAAUCGGAAUUACUGGGCGUAAAGCGCAUGCUGGAGGUUAGUUAAGUCAGAUGUGCCUGCGCGCUGCUCAACCUCGUAGUAACAUUUGAAACUGGCAAACUAGAUUACUGUACAUGUGUGUAGAAUUUCUGGUGUAGCGGUGAAAUGCAUACAGAUGUCAAAGAAUACCGGUGGCGAUAGCGCUCCCCCUGGACGUAUACUGACACGCAGAUGCGACAGCAUGAGGUGCAAGAUGAUCAGAUACCCUAGAUAAUCUACACUAUACAUGAUGACUACUGAGAUGUUGUGGCCUUGACUCACGGCCUUUCGUAGCUCAG